rfam:Triticum aestivum genome assembly, contig: Triticum_aestivum_CS42_TGACv1_scaffold_049500_1BS
GGGGAGAUGGCCGAGCAGUUCAAUGCAUAGCAUUGGAACUUCUAUGUAGACUUUUGUUUACUGAGGGUUUGAAUCCCUCUCUUUCCA